rnacentral:lncRNA from 1 species
AUUGUCGUCGCCGUUGCCUUUUCUGGUUGUCUUCUCCGACGAGGUAAUGGUUCAAACUCCUCGGUUGACUGCAUAUGAGAUACCACCAUGUAGAGUAGAUCACAUGGAAUCAAAUCCCUAUGGUUUGAGGCUUUGAUUCCCUAUCCCCAACAUUUAAUUUCUGUUUUCUUCAACUAGGGUUCUUGUACCAUCUUCUUCGAUUGGACUGGAUGUUUAGGAAUUGGAAAUUUUGGCGUGUGGAUUUUGUCUUAGCAGUUUGAGACGAGGUUUUUGAGUUGGUCAUUUUCACCUUAGG